GCCACCUCCCCCGCACGCCCCCUCGGCCGCUCCCCUCCCCCACCUCGCAGCGUCCCGUCACCUCCCUCUCUCGAGGUGCUCGCGCUGGACGUCGCCGCCGCCUCCCCCUUCAAUUUCCUUCCCCGAGCCCUCCGCGGCCCCGCCCGGCCCCGCCCCGUCCCGCUCGCCUCCCCCUCCCCACUCCGCCGCCCCGCCGCCUCACUCUCGGCUCAGGCUCGGCGCCGCCAUGUUGGAUCCAUCCGCGCCGCCCUCCCGGCCCGUCGCGCGCCGCCGCAUCCGGGCUCCGGCCGCCGCCGCCGCCGCCGCCGCCGCCGCCGCCGCCGCGGGCGUGGGGGAGGGGGCGGCCUCGUCCUGAGCAGCGCCUCCCGGAACCUGGCCGGUUAGCGGCGGCUUCGAGGCCAUAGCGAGGCAUGAGCCGGGGUGGCCAUGCUGGGUGAGGGCAGCCUGGCAGCGGCAUGAGCCGGGGCGUGGAUAGCUUCACUUGGGGACGCGACGCUAGAGGCUGGCAGCCAUCUUGCUUUGGGGCAAGCGGGCGCCGCCGGUUCUUCCCGGCGGGGGCGGCGGCGGUGGCGGCUCGGGGGCCGCGGGGGGAGGGAGUGAGGGUGGCGGUCUCGGGUGCGGGAGCACUGGGGGCGCCAGAGCUGGCUGCCGUCGGCCUCGACACCCAUCGAGAGACUGGGACUAGCGGCCAUGACUCAUGAGGGCGGAAUAUUGCCAGGGUCGCGCCGCCCGGCGAACUCCGGGGAAGGUUCACGGAGGUCGGGCUUUGACCUUUGCCCCGAGCUUCCGGUCAACCCGGACGUGCCGUAAACCGCGGUCGGGGCGGAAAGCGCUGCCCGGGGGCUCCUCGGCUUUCGUCCUGGGAGCACCCGCUUCCCAAAGGGAGCGUCGCCGGAGCCGAGUCGGGGGCGUCGGGGACGUUCUGGAGCUGCCGGCGGCCCGUGGCGUAGAGGAGAGGCCGCGAGCGGGGCCCGUGGGAACGCCAGGCCCAGAGGAGCUUGCUGCCUGGGCGCUGGCCGAGGGGCGGCCGCGUGCUGGGGGCGGUGCGCGCGUGUGGCCCGGGCGGCCGCAGCCUGGACGCGGGGAAGACGCCCGAGAACUAGGGGAGCGCCUGGAGCUCGAGACGGAGGCAGAGGGCGGCCCAAGGGGCCCCGAGAAGGGACAUCCCGGAGCCGAGCAUCCGUGGAACUGAUCCAGGCGUUAAAGGGAUGCCUGGGUGGCUCAGUGGUUGAGCAUCUGCCUUCGGCUCAGGGUGUGAUUCCAAAGUUCCUGGAUCAAGUCCUGCAUUGGGUUCCCUGUGAGGGGACCUGCCUCUGCCUCUUCCUGGGUCUCUGCCUCUAUUUCUCCUG
rnacentral:lncRNA from 1 species